rnacentral:rRNA from 1 species
CAGUAGCCGCGGUAAUACGAGGGGGGCAAGCGUUGUUCGGAUUUAUUGGGCGUAAAGGGUGCGUAGGCGGUUUGGCAAGUCUUGUGUGAAAUCUAUGGGCUCAACCCAUAGCCUGCACGAGAAACUACCGGGCUUGAGUAGUGGAGAGGUGAGUGGAAUUUCCGGUGUAGCGGUGAGAUGCGUAGAUAUCGGAAGGAACACCUGUGGCGAAAGCGGCUCACUGGACAAUAACUGACGCUGAUGCACGAAAGCUAGGGGAGCAAACAGGAUUAGAUACCCGCGUAGUCCCUGUCUCUUAUAC